AAUUUAUGUAAACUAUGCCAAGCACAUGAGGAAGACCUACAGCAUGCGUUAAUCCACUGCUCGCAUGCGAGACAAUUCUGGGACAAAGCUCGUCUUGUCUUGGAUAUCAAGUUGCCGAGACUACAUCCAUCCUCUUGGGCAGGCGAUAUUUUAUGUGGAUCAAUGUUCACCGGUAAGGAACGAGCAACAAUAAUCACUAUAAUGUGGUCCAUUUGGAGUUCUCGCAACAGAUGGACGCAUGACGGCGAGAAGUUCGAUCCGGUGAAUUCCAUUAAACUCACUAGAAAGGCUUUGGCCUUACUUGAGGUACCUAAGCAGCAAGAUGCAUUGCUCCCGGGACAUGGCUGGCGACCACCUGAACCGGAUCACGUGAAGAUCAACACCGAUGCAGCUGUGCGGUUCACAGAGGAAAAGAGUGGAGCUGGGGGUGUUGCCCGCUCCCAGACAACACUGAUGGGCGCCUGGUGCAAGCCCCAUCUUGGGGUCACUGAUCCCAUGAUCGCCGAGGCAUUAGCCCUACGGGAUGGAGUGAUAUUCGCAAAUCUAAGAGGCUAUGCCAAUGUGAUAAUGGAGACCGACAGUCUGGAGAUUGUGAAUCUCUGGAACACUCGCCGCAACAGCCGCUCCGUUGUGGCACCAGUUUUCUCGAAAUUGAUGAGCUAG
rnacentral:rRNA from 1 species